rnacentral:rRNA from 1 species
AGAUUGAACGCUGGCGGCAUGCCUUACACAUGCAAGUCGAACGGCAGCACGGGAGCAAUCCUGGUGGCGAGUGGCGAACGGGUGAGUAAUACAUCGGAACGUGCCCAGUUGUGGGGGAUAGCCCGGCGAAAGCCGGAUUAAUACCGCAUACGACCUACGGGUGAAAGCGGGGGAUCGCAAGACCUCGCGCUAUUGGAGCGGCCGAUGUCGGAUUAGCUUGUGGUAGGUAAAGCCUACCAAGGCUACGAUCCGUAGCUGGUCUGAGAGGACGACCAGCCACACUGGGACUGAGACACGG